rnacentral:rRNA from 1 species
UACGUAGGGGGCAAGCGUUGUCCGGAAUCAUUGGGCGUAAAGCGCGCGUAGGCGGCCCGGUAAGUCCGCUGUGAAAGUCAAAGGCUCAACCUUUGAAUGUCAGCGGAUACUGCCGGGCUAGAGUCCGGAAGAGGCGAGUGGAACUCCUGGUGUAGCGGUGGAAUGCGCAGAUAUCAGGAAGAACACCAACGGCGAAGGCAGCUCGCUGGGACGGAACUGACG